GCGGAACGUAAUCCCGGCGAGUUCCUAAAUUAAGCCGAUAUCACCUUCAUACCUUGUUGAUUUGGAUGAGAUUUGUUCUUUUACGCUGGUCAGCGGCCAUUCUUCAAUAAACAAGCAAAAAAAAAGUGGACCGAGAGGAAUUAUCUGGACUCUUCUGCUGUGGAUAGAAAGGUGGAGUUUGCCGGAUUUUAUUUCACGUGGCCAUGAUGUGAAGUAAAUUCAAACUCACCUGUCCAGUGGGGUCUGCAUGGCUACGGACGAGGCCUCAUCCAUCC